UGGGGAAUUUUGGACAAUGGGCGAAAGCCUGAUCCAGCCAUGCCGCGUGAGUGAAGAAGGCCUUCGGGUUGUAAAGCUCUCUCAGGUGGAAAGAAAACGCAUAGGUUAAUACCUUGUGCGGAUGACGGUACCAUCGGAAGAAGCACCGGCUAACUACGUGCCAGCAGCCGCGGUAAUACGUAGGGUGCGAGCGUUAAUCGGCAUUACUGGGCGUAAAGCGUGCGCAGGCGGUUAUGUAAGACAGAUGUGAAAUCCCCGGGCGCAACCUGGGAACUGCGUUUGUGACUGCAUAACUAGAGUGCGGCAGAGGGGGGUGGAAUUCCGCGUGUAGCAGUGAAAUGCGUAGAUAUGCGGAGGAACACCGAUGGAGAAGGCAGCCUCCUGGGCCAGUACUGACGCUCAGGCACGAAAGCGUGGGGAGCAAACA
rnacentral:rRNA from 1 species